GAUGCAUCAUUGUAAAAAUGAUGCAGGAUCGACUAUGUCGAAUAAAAUUCUAGGUAGAAUUAUGAUAAUGACAUUGUCUGCCUAUGUGUCUUGACCAAAUUACGUGCCAGCAGUCGCGGUAAUACGUAGAAGACUAGUGUUAUUCAUGUUUAAUCGGUUUAAAGGGUACCUAGACGGUAAAUCAAGCCUAAAAUUAAAUGAAGGGACUAAUUUACUAGAGUUACUUAUGAGGGGGUAUUAAAGUACUGCUGGUGUAGAGAUGAAAUUCUGUCAUACCUCUUUUCAAUAGAAAAACAAUGGCACAGGUAUAGGCGAAAGCAUCCCCUUAUGUGAUAACUGACGUUGAGGGACGAAGGCUUUGUGUAGCGAACAGGAUUAGAUACCCCAGUAGUCAAAGCAGAAAAUGAUGAAUGUCAUAGAUUAGAUAAAUAAGUUUAUUCUAUAAAUGAAAGUGUAAGCAUUCCACCUCAAGAGUAAUUUGGCAACAUUGGAACUGAAAUCAUUAGACCGUUUCUGAAUCCAGUAGUGAAGUAUGUUGUUUAAUUUGAUGAUCCGCAAAAAACCUUACCACAAUUUGAAUAUUUAUAUUUUUUUAUUGUUUUCUUUUUAAUUUUCUUCUGAUNUGAUUUUUCUAAAGAAAAAAAGAAAAAGAGGCGAUAUGAUAUAUUUACAAGCGUUGCACGGCUGUCUUCAGUUAAUGUCGCGAGACUUUGGUUAGUUCCAUUAAAUUAACGU
rnacentral:rRNA from 1 species